AUGCAAGUCGAACGGAAACGAUACUAGCUUGCUAGUAGGCGUCGAAUGGCGGACGGGUGAGUAACGCGUAGGAAUCUACCUGAUAGUGGGGGAUAGCCCGAAGAAAUUCGGAUUAAUACCGCAUAAUCUAUUCGUAGUAAAGUGGGGGACUUUCGAGCCUCACGCUAUCAGAUGAGCCUGCGUAAGAUUAGCUAGUUGGUAGGGUAAAAGCCUACCAAGGCGACGAUCUUUAGCUGGUCUGAGAGGAUGAUCAGCCACAUCGGGACUGAGACACGGCCCGAACUCCUACGGGAGGCAGCAGUGGGGAAUAUUGGACAAUGGGGGCAACCCUGAUCCAGCAAUACCGCGUGUGUGAAGAAGGCCUGAGGGUUGUAAAGCACUUUCAAUUGUGAAGAAAAGCUAGCGGUUAAUAGCCGUUAGCCUUGACGUUAACUUUAGAAGAAGCACCGGCUAACUCCGUGCCAGCAGCCGCGGUAAUACGGAGGGUGCAAGCGUUAAUCGGAAUUACUGGGCGUAAAGCGUGCGUAGGCGGUUUAUUAAGUCAGAUGUGAAAGCCCCGGGCUUAACCUGGGAACUGCAUUUGAAACUGGUCAACUAGAGUAUGGUAGAGGAAAGUGGAAUUUCUGGUGUAGCGGUGAAAUGCGUAGAUAUCAGAAGGAACAUCAAUGGCGAAGGCAACUUUCUGGACCAAUACUGACGCUGAGGUACGAAAGCGUGGGUAGCAAACAGGAUUAGAUACCCUGGUAGUCCACGCCGUAAACGAUGAUAACUAGCCGUUGGGGGGAUUUACCCUUAGUGGCGAAGCUAACGCGUUAAGUUAUCCGCUGGGG
rnacentral:rRNA from 1 species